UCGCGGCUUAUCACCGGCAGUCCCCCUAGAGUGCCCAACCGAAUGCUGGCAACUAGGGGCGAGGGUUGCGCUCGUUGCGGGACUUAACCCAACAUCUCACGACACGAGCUGACGACAGCCAUGCAGCACCUGUCACCGGUCCAGCCGAACUGAAGGGAUCCAUCUCUGGAUCCCGCGACCGGGAUGUCAAACGCUGGUAAGGUUCUGCGCGUUGCUUCGAAUUAAACCACAUGCUCCGCUGCUUGUGCGGGUCCCCGUCAAUUCCUUUGAGUUUUAAUCUUGCGACCGUACUCCCCAGGCGGGAUGCUUAAGGCGUUAGCUGCGCCACUGACGGGUAAACCCGCCAACGGCUAGCAUCCAUCGUUUACGGCGUGGACUAC
rnacentral:misc_RNA from 1 species